rnacentral:rRNA from 1 species
AAAAAGUUUAACAAAAGCUAUUUUUUAGGGGGGGGCAUGUUAAACAUGCUGGCUUUAGCUUAAGUAGUUUAAUUAAUUAAAAUUUAGCCUGCCCUUAGCAAAGGUUAAAUUUGUGCCAGCACCUGCGGUUACACCUGAUUUGCGGCUGAACCCAACCAGAGACACUAAUUUGUAGUCUGUAUUUAUAGACCUAGGUGAAAUAAAAAAGUGAGCGAUAAACAGAACUCAGGUGAGGCUACUAGGGACCAGGAUUAGAUACCCUGCUACUACUCAGUUAAUCUAAGGAUUACUGCUAUAAAUUAUAUGGUUUGGCGGCUGGCGGUAAUUAGAGGAGUUUGCGCGUAAUCGAUGAGCCCCGCUAACUCUUGCUUAGUUAAGUUAUGUACACCGUCAUUUAGCUAGUUUAGUAACAAAAAUUAGGGCUUUUAGGUAAAAAAGCUAGAUCAAGGUGCAGAGUGCCUAAGUGUAGUUAACUACAAUAUAAAAGAUAUAUAUCUAAAAAACCUUGUGAUUUUAUGAAAGUGGAUUUAACAGUAAGUGAAAGCAUCUGAACUAAUCUAACUAGUGUACAAAUUGCCCGUCAAUCUCUACGAGAUAAGUCGAAACAAAGUAGAAGCACCGGAAGGUGCUUCUAA